GCAUAACGCGAAGAACCUUACCAGGCCUCGACAUCCCUGGAACCCCCGAGAGAUCGGGGGGUGCCCUUCGGGGAACCAGGAGACAGGUGCUGCAUGGCUGUCGUCAGCUCGUGUCGUGAGAUGUUCGGUUAAGUCCGGCAACGAGCGCAACCCUCGCCAUUAGUUGCCAUCAGUUCGGCUGGGCACUCUAAUGGGACUGCCCGUGAAAGCGGGAGGAAGGCGGGGAUGAUGUCUAGUUAGCAUGGUCCUUACGGCCUGGGCGACACACGUGCUACAAUGGCCGGUACAACGCGUCGCCACCUCGCGAGAGGGAGCUAAUCGCUAAAGCCGGUCCCAGUUCAGAUCGCAGUCUGCAACUCGACUGCGUGAAGUCGGAAUCGCUAGUAAUCGCGGAUCAGCCAUGCCGCGGUGAAUACGUUCCCGGGUCUUGUACACACCG
rnacentral:rRNA from 1 species